AUUGAACGCUGGCGGCAUGCCUUACACAUGCAAGUCGAACGGUAACAGGUCUUCGGAUGCUGACGAGUGGCGAACGGGUGAGUAAUACAUCGGAACGUGCCCGAUCGUGGGGGAUAACGGAGCGAAAGCUUUGCUAAUACCGCAUACGAUCUACGGAUGAAAGCAGGGGACCGCAAGGCCUUGCGCGGACGGAGCGGCCGAUGGCAGGUUAGGUAGUUGGUGGGAUAAAAGCUUACCAAGCCGACGAUCUGUAGCUGGUGUGAGAGGACGACCAGCCACACUGGGACUGAGACACGUCCCAGACUCCUACGGGAGGCAGCAGUGGGGAAUUUUGGACAAUGGGCGAAAGCCUGAUCCAGCCAUGCCGCGUGCAGGAUGAAGGCCUUCGGGUUGUAAACUGCUUUUGUACGGAACGAAAAGCCUCUUUCUAAUAAAGAGAGGUCAUGACGGUACCGUAAGAAUAAGCACCGGCUAACUACGUGCCAGCCGCCGCGGUAAUAC
rnacentral:rRNA from 1 species